GACUGAUGCGUUGCGGAAGCGGUCCCUCUCGGACUGUUUCUGAUGUAGUGUGUCUGACGAAUACGGUCUGUGCAUGUCUGUGGCUCUGCACGGACCGGUCUCUGUAAGACACAUCUCUGACGUGCCGUCUCUGAGAAGCCCACGUGUGAAGGAGAACAAGUGAGACAGACGCGGACCUGUUGAAACAAGAGUGCUGCAGAGGCCGGUUGGUGCAGACAACGAGGAAGACAGCAACUGGGUGAGAUGGAGGCCGAGUUCGGCAGAGACACGAUGUGGCAUUCACCGAGACUGGCAUGCAUCUCUUGAUGAGAUCUUUGAAAAAAAAUUGAAGAUUUUCAAAAUUUUCAAAAAAUUAAAAAAUGCUUCAAAUUGUUCAAAAAGCGCACAGAACCGAAAAAAAUUGAAAAAUUUCACAUCAAACAUUUUUUCUGAAGUCUCCCAAACAGAUGCCUGCCAAACUCGUUGAAUGACUUACCCUUUCUCUUGCGGACUCGGCCUCUAUCUCACCACGGUUGCUGCCUGCGUCGUUGUCUGCACCAACCGAUCUCUGCAGGACUCGGUCUCUGACGAUCUGGGUCUCUGCCUUACGUGUUGUCUGCUGGACCGGGGCCUCUCAGAGAAGGCACGUCAGAGCCGAGUCAUACUGAGGACGGUCCGUGCAGAGGCCGAGUCAGGCACAAUCCGCAUUCGUCGGAGACACAGUACAUCAUAAACAGUCUGAGAGAGACCGGUUCUUCAUGGCAACAGGCAGGUUGAUGCAGAGAAAAAGACGUGAAACAGACCGAGUUUAGCAUAUACACCGAGCUGCAGACACUGAGUCCUACAGAUGCCGGAAGAUGCAGAGGCAGUACCUAUGUGAGACCGGGGGUUGCAGAGACUGAUUCCAGCGGACAACGAAUCUUGAAGAGACCGCCUAUGCAGAGGCAGGAUGGUGUUCCAUUGUUCCUGUGUUCCGGUACGCCUGUGCCCCAGCAGCCGUGUUUAGCG